rnacentral:lncRNA from 10 species
UCAUCUGUAAAAUGGGAGCAAUGACAGUAGAAGACUGUUGCAAAAAUAAAGACCAGGGGCAUAUGCCACACAGCACUGAGCCAACACACUGCUGGUACCUGCUGAAUAAUUGUAGGUGUUUCUUACUCCUUCUGGGGCCUCUCAGGUAAGGCCUCUCUUGACAAGAAGGGCAAAGGUUGACAGACCCCAGGGGUGAGGGAGCUGUGGGGGCCCUUUACCCAGUGGCUGCCAAGUACAGACAGCCCUUUCUCUGCCUCCCACAGGGCCCGCCUGGAGACAUUGGCUUCAAAGGCAUCCAGGGCCCUCGGGGGCCACCUGGCUUGAUGGGAAAGGAAGGCAUCGUCGGGCCCCUCGGAAUCCUGGGACCUUCGGGACUCCCGGGUCCGAAGGGUGACAAAGGCAGCCGUGGGGACUGGGGAUUGCAAGGUCCGAGGGUGAGUGGGCUGGGCAUGAGGGCUGUGGGGCGGGGCGUGGGGCGGGCACCCUGCAUUCUCCUCCCGGUGGUACAUUCUCU